rnacentral:rRNA from 1 species
GAUGAACGCUGGCGGCGUGCCUAAUACAUGCAAGUCGAGCGAACAGACGAGGAGCUUGCUCCUUCGACGUUAGCGGCGGACGGGUGAGUAACACGUAGGUAACCUACCUAUAAGACUGGGAUAACUUCGGGAAACCGGAGCUAAUACCGGAUAAUAUUUCGAACCGCAUGGUUCGAUAGUGAAAGAUGGCUUUGCUAUCACUUAUAGAUGGACCUGCGCCGUAUUAGCUAGUUGGUAAGGUAACGGCUUACCAAGGCAACGAUGCGUAGCCGACCUGAGAGGGUGAUCGGCCACACUGGAACUGAGACACGGUCCAGACUCCUACGGGAGGCAGCAGUAGGGAAUCUUCCGCAAUGGGCGAAAGCCUGACGGAGCAACGCCGCGUGAGUGAUGAAGGUCUUCGGAUCGUAAAACUCUGUUAUUAGGGAAGAACAAAUGUGUAAGUAACUGUGCACGUCUUGACGGUACCUAAUCAGAAAGCCACGGCUAACUACGUG